UACAGAGACUGCAAGCGUUGUUCGGAUUCACUGGGCGUAAAGGGUGCGCAGGCGGCCAAGUGUGUUAGGCGUGAAAGCCCGGGGCUUAACCCCGGAAUUGCACCUAAAACUACAUGGCUAGAGCAUUGGAGAGGGUAGCGGAAUUCACGGUGUAGCAGUGAAAUGCGUAGAUAUCAAGAGGAACACCAGUGGCGAAGGCGAGUCCCUGGACAACACCUGACACUGAGGCACGAAAGCUAGGGGAGCAAACAGG
rnacentral:rRNA from 1 species